rnacentral:rRNA from 1 species
CGUAAGCGCGGCGCAGGCGGUUUCUUAGGUCUGAUGUGAAAGCCCCCGGCUCAACCGAGGGAGGGUCAUUGGAAACGUGGGUGAACUUGAGUGCAGAAGAGGAGAAUGGAAUUCCACGUGUAGCGGUGAAAUGCGUAGAGAUGUGGAGGAACACCAGUGGCGAAGGCGACUCUCUGGUCUGUAACUGACGCUGAGGCGCGAAAGCGUGGGGAGCGAACAGGAUUAGAUACCCUGGUAGUCCACGCCGUAAACGAUGAGUGCUAAGUGUUAGAGGGUUUCCGCCCUUUAGUGCUGCAGCAAACGCAUUAAGCACUCCGCCUGGGGAGUACGGUCGCAAGACUGAAACUCAAAGGAAUUGACGGGGGCCCGCACAAGCGGUGGAGCAUGUGGUUUAAUUCGAAGCAACGCGAAGAACCUUACCAGGUCUUGACAUCCUCUGACAACCCUAGAGAUAGGGCUUCCCCUUCGGGGGCAGAGUGACAGGUGGUGCAUGGUUGUCGUCAGCUCGUGUCGUGAGAUGUUGGGUUAAGUCCCGCAACGAGCGCAACCCUUGAUCUUAGUUGCCAGCAUUCAGUUGGGCACUCUAAGGUGACUGCCGGUGACAAACCGGAGGAAGGUGGGGAUGACGUCAAAUCAUCAUGCCCCUUAUGACCUGGGCUACACACGUGCUACAAUGGGCAGAACAAAGGGCAGCGAAGCCGCGAGGCUAAGCCAAUCCCACAAAUCUGUUCUCAGUUCGGAUCGCAGUCUGCAACUCGACUGCGUGAAGCUGGAAUCGCUAGUAAUCGCGGAUCAGCAUGCCGCGGGUGGAAUACGUUCCCGGGCCUUGUACACACCGCCCGUCACACCACGAGAGUUUGUAACACCCGAAGUCGGUGAGGU